UACGGGGGGGGCAAGCGUUGUUCGGAAUUACUGGGCGUAAAGGGCUCGUAGGCGGCCAACUAAGUCAGACGUGAAAUCCCUCGGCUUAACCGAGGAACUGCGUCCGAAACUGGAUGGCUUGAGUUCGGGAGAGGGAUGCGGAAUUCCAGGUGUAGCGGUGAAAUGCGUAAAUAUCUGGAGGAACACCGGUGGCGAAGGCGGCAUCCUGGACCGACACUGACGCUGAGGAGCGAAAGCCAGGGGAGCAAACGGG
rnacentral:rRNA from 1 species